GGUCAACGCUGGCGGCGUGCCUAAAACAUGCAAGUCGAACGGGCGGGAGCGAUCCUGCCCGUGGCGGACGGCUGAGGAACGCGUAGGUGACCCACCCUCCAGUGGGGAAUAACUGCCCGAAAGGGUGGCUAAUACCGCAUGGCCUGGACGGGUCGGACCGUCCAGGAAAGCCGGGAGGCGCUGGAGGCGGGGCCUGCGUCCGAUUAGCUCGUUGGUGGGGUAACGGCCCACCAAGGCGAUGAUCGGUAGCUGGUCUGAGAGGAUGGCCAGCCAGACU
rnacentral:rRNA from 1 species